GUAGUCCACGCUGUAAACGAUGGACACUAGGCUUGGCGGGUCUUGACCCCUGCCGAGCCGGAGCUAACGCAAUAAGUGUCCCGCCUGGGAAGUACGGUCGCAAGACUAAAACUCAAAGGAAUUGACGGGGGCCCGCACAAGCGGUGGAUCAUGUGGUUUAAUUCGAAGCAACGCGAAGAACCUUACCUGGGUUUGACAUCGCCGGACAAACGUAGAGAUACGUCUUUCGUAGCAAUACGACCGGUAGACAGGUGCUGCAUGGCUGUCGUCAGCUCGUGUGGUGACAUGUUGGGUUAAGUCCCGCAACGAGCGCAACCCUUGUCUUUAGUUGCCAGCAUUAGGUUGGGCACUCUAAAGAGACUGCCGUGGUUAACACGGA
rnacentral:rRNA from 1 species